rnacentral:rRNA from 1 species
ACGGAAGGCAGCAGUGGGGAAUAUUGCACAAUGGGGGAAACCCUGAUGCAGCGACGCCGCGUGAGUGAAGAAGUAUUUCGGUAUGCAAAGCUCUAUCAGCAGGAAAGAAAAUGACGGUACCUGACUAAGAAGCCCCGGCUAACUACGUGCCAGCAGCCGCGGUAAUACGUAGGGGGCAAGCGUUAUCCGGAUUUACUGGGUGUAAAGGGAGCGUAGACGGCUUUGCAAGUCUGAAGUGAAAGCCCGGGGCUCAACCCCGGAACUGCUUUGGAAACUGUAGAGCUAGAGUGCAGGAGAGGUAAGUGGAAUUCCUAGUGUAGCGGUGAAAUGCGUAGAUAUUAGGAGGAACACCAGUGGCGAAGGCGGCUUACUGGACUGUAACUGACGUUGAGGCUCGAAGGCGUGGGGAGCAAACAGGAUUAGAUACCCUGGUA